GGUCCUGGCCUCUGGAACAACUUGAGACAGGCUUCCAAUCAUUUCCUUGUAACAAGAGGGGCACCACACCAAGCACAUAGCUGCUGGCAUCUGUUGGAAUGGCUGUAGACUUGGAAACAUCUUCAGCUUCAGCCCAUAGAUUUACUGCAAGUGACAAGUUCAUUCUUGCCUGUGAUCUGAUCUUGCUUGGGACCUUUCUGAUAUUCUGACUCCAUUCUCCCAGUUCUGCUUCAGAGUCACACUUGGUACCCUAGCUGAUGAACCACCAAGUAGCACAUAUACACCAGAGUUCCUUUUUGUCUUGCUAACAGGCAGCAUUUCACCAGUAUCACCCAUCUGAAUACACUGGAUCAGCUGAACCAAAGUUUUUUCCCAAGGCAUGAUGGACUUGCUGGAAUGAACAGAACUGGAAAUGGGUAAGUAAAGCAGUUGUGUGAUCUAAACAUCACAAUGACUAUCUCAUCUUAAAAGAAAUGGCUUAAAUAUGAAACACCAUUUCUCCCAUCACUGAAAAAGUUCUUUUUAAGACAAAUUCUAGAAAAGCCAGGUGGUUCCCGUCACAGGUGGCCAGCCACAGUAACUGAAGUAGGUUCAGCUCACUUGUGUCAGCACAUGCACUUCCAUUUGGCCAAUUAAAAGGACUGAGCAGCACCUAGGGGUUAUCCGGGGGCAAAUCUCAGGGGAGAGAGCUGGUGAAUCAGUGCUGCCUGGUCAGUCAGGAAGGGCAGCUGAGUUGCUAGAGCUAGAAUGUGUUUCCUGGAGGCAGGCUGAAUGCAAGGAGAGUAACAAGAAAGGAUUCCUAGCUCGCUUCCCCAAGCCAUAGAACUAGGGCUAGAGGGUUUGAGAGGACUGAAGGUAGCUGCAGUGGUGGCAGUAGAGGGAGGUGCCUGCUGGCUCUAAGCCAGGGAGCUAGAACUGAGGGCCAGAGAGGGCUGAAAGAAUGAAAGAUGCCUGCAACAUCAUGCUGGAGAGUUGGACCCCAAGGAACAAGGAGAGGGCCAGGGCAGUGCGAGUUGCUUCCUGGUAAAGAUGAACUCCCAGCACAGGCUAUAGGGAUGCCUACUGGGCAGAGUAGGGUUGCACCUCACUUGUUAGGGUUGGGACAGCUGUCCUGGCAGAGGGACAGAAGAGGACCAACAAGGAGC